UAGUGUGGUUUGAGAUUAUUUCUCAAAAACAUGCUAGAAGACUAUCUUGGAAAUCUUAGUUUCCCAGCUUGCUUCAUUUAGAACUACAAGAAAUUGGACCUACGACAACAACUUCUACGGAAACAGAUUGAAAAUUGUUGCCAUGUAUAGUCUAUUGCAACGGUUAAACCGUCACAUAUGAUUUAUAGUGUUAUCUCCAUAGAUUACCAAAUAACUGUUGCAGCUUUGUAAUAAUUGUUGCUAUAGAAGACCUGAUACAAUUGUCUUCUAUACUCAUUGUGAUAUAUAUUUUUUAGCAACAGGUUUAUUUCUAUUACUACGAUUUGUAGAAUCCCUCCGUAUGUUUCCCACAAUUUUCACAGUGCCGCCUAAAUGAAAAAAAAAAAAAAAAAGCAAUCCCUCCUUAUUCAUCACAUAUUUUUUGAUAAUCUCAAAAAAUAAAAAUACAUGGUGGGACCUUCAGUAACUACAACCUACAGAGGCUAGAUCUUUUUAUCGAAAAUUACACCACGACGUUUCUAGCUCUCACAAGCUUUCAUUUCUAUCCAAAUGUUUUUAAAAUCUUUUCAUUCAAUGGAGAAAAUGAUUCCUUGUUGAAACUUGCUCGAUCCAAAUUCUCAAUCUCACUGAAGAGUUCAAAAUCGCUUGCAAGAGAGUCGAAAAUUGCUAGUUUAUUCACUAAUUUCGAGACCCCUAACUUAACCGGUUCCGAAAUGCAAAUUAGGAUAAAAGAUUUUCAUUCUCAAAGCAUCUAAUUCAAGAAUAUCUUGGAAGCUCAACAGUGAAAUUAACCUUCCAACGUAGCUCCUUCUUACAAUCUCCACUUUUUCCUCGAUCUAACUUCUUCCAUGUGUUAACUAAAGAAUUUCCUUUCUAUGGAGGACAAACAUCUUCACCUGUGUUUCUUAUUUCAUUCCGAUCAAUGGAGACAGUAAAAUUUUGAGAAAGUUAAGAUGGUAGUCAAUCAAUUUAUGCAAAUGAGCCCGUUAUGGCACCUGAUCAUCCAGGUUAAGUAAGAUUGUAUGGACAUGGGAUUACCAAGGCUCUUUUGAAAAACAAAGUGGCAGAUUUUUUACCCCCUUCUAUUGUGGUUGAUUCUAAAAAAGGAUGCAUGAAAAGUUGAAAGACCAGAAAGAUAACAUGAAAAGAUGUUACAAUGAACAUUAUUGCAGAGCUUAAUUGUCUAAAUCGAGGAUUAGCACUUGAUCCUAGCAUGCUAAGAUUCAGUGUUCGUUCGCUUGGAUAAGAGGGUGUUAUUCCAGUAAUCAAUCAUCCAUCUGCUUGCACUAUCAAUGAAGGUGUCAAAAAUGAAGAAUGGAAAGAAUAAAGCAGUAAAGGAAACCUUACCUGCUACUUCAGAAGUAUUUUUAAUUGUUGAUAUGUUCUAAAAUUUAUUUUGCUAUUGUACAUUAUGAAAAAUAUCACAUAAUUUUUGGAAUCAUGUAAAUGUCAACUAAUGGUAAUUUGGCUUGAACAUUUUGAAUUUACGGAUGCAUAUGAUUAACUUUAUGGGUA